CAACCCUCAAGCUCUGCUUGGUAUUGGGCAUCACCGGUCAAACGGUGUGCCUUAAAAUCAGUGGCGGUGCCAUCUGGCUCUAAGCGUAGUACAUCUCUCGCUCUAGGUGCCUGGUGGAUGCUUGCCAACAACCCCCAAUUUUUUAAGG
rnacentral:misc_RNA from 1 species